GAGUCAGGUUUCUGGAGUCUGAAGUCCUCUACUUAACCACAGAGCAGGUACAGCACGGAUAGAAACAGUGCAUCUUUUCCCUUACUUACCCAGAAAUGUCUCACUCUAGAUCUCAUGGGGCCAACUCUGGGCAUGGGAGUGUAGUUCUAUGUCCAGGCUCGUUCUAUGUCCAUGUCCU
rnacentral:sRNA from 1 species